rnacentral:rRNA from 1 species
AUUGAACGCUGGCGGCAGGCCUAACACAUGCAAGUCGAGCGGAGCGGCGGACGGGAGAGUAAUGCCUAGGAAUCUGCCAGGUAGUGGGGGAUAACGUCCGGAAACGGGCGCUAAUACCGCAUACUAUCAGAUGAGCCUGGGUCGGAUUAGCUAGUUGGUGGGGUAAAGUCCUACCACGGCGACGAGCCGUAACUGGUCUGAGAGGAUGAUCAGUCAAACGGGAACGUGGACACGGUCCAGACGCCUUCGGGAGGCCGCAGUGGGGAAUAAUGGACAAUGGGCGAAAUCCUGAUCCAGCCAUGCCGCGUGUGUGAAGAAGGUCUUCGGAUUGUAAAGCACUGUAAGUUGGGAGGCGUUACCAACAGAAUAAGCACCGGCUAACUUCGUGCCAGCCGCCGCGGUAAUAC